rnacentral:rRNA from 1 species
AUACGGAGGGUCCGAGCGUUAUCCGGAAUCAUUGGGUUUAAAGGGUCCGUAGGCGGGAAUCUAAGUCAGUGGUGAAAUCUUGCAGCUCAACUGUAAAAUUGCCAUUGAUACUGGAUUUCUUGAAUUAGUGUGAAGUGGUUAGAAUGUGUAGUGUAGCGGUGAAAUGCAUAGAUAUUACACAGAAUACCAAUUGCGAAGGCAGAACACUAACACUAUAUUGACGCUAAGGGACGAAAGCGUGGGGAGCGAACAGGAUUAGAAACCCCAGUAGUCC